rnacentral:rRNA from 1 species
AAUAAAAUUAGUGUCUUAAUAAUAUAGAAAGACCUUAAAUCCAUACCGAACUAAGAAGUGAUACUAUAUUAAAACAAAAAUACUAAGUGGGCAGCUGCUUGGAAAGAUAGUUAGAUGCU